rnacentral:rRNA from 1 species
AUUGAACGCUGGCGGCAGGCCUAAUACAUGCAAGUCGAACGAGUGGCGGACGGGUGAGUAAUGUCUGGGAACCUGCCUGAUGGAGGGGGAUAACUACUGGAAACGGUGGCUAAUACCGCAUACCACCGGAUGUGCCCAGAUGGGAUUAGCUAGUAGGGGGGGUAAAGGCUCACCUAGGCGACGAUCCCUAGCGGGUCUGAGAGGAUGACCGGCCACACUGGAGGAGAGACACGGUGCAGAGUCGUACGCGAGGGAGCAGAGGGGAGUAUUUCAGAAUGGGCGCGAGCCUCAUACAGCCAUGCGGCGUGUAAGAGGAAGGGCUUCGGGGUGCAAAAUACUUUCAGCGGGGAGGGGUGGUCCGUAGAAGAAGCACCGGCUAACUACGUGCCAGCAGCCGCGGUAAUUC